rnacentral:rRNA from 1 species
CCUACGGGAGACUGCAGUGGGGAAUAUUGCACAAUGGGGGAAACCCUGAUGCAGCGACGCCGCGUGAGUGAAGAAGUAAUUCGUUAUGUAAAGCUCUAUCGGCAGGGAAGAAAAUGACGGUACCUGAGUAAGAAGCCCCGGCUAACUACGUGCAAGCAGCCGCGGUAAUACGUAGGGGGCAAGCGUUAUCCGGAUUUACUGGGUGGAAAGGGAGCGUAGACGGGAGUGCAAGUCUGGAGUGAAAGGCGGGGGCUCAACCCCCGGACUGCUCUGGAAACUGUACGGCUGGAGUGCAGGAGAGGUGAGUGGAAUUCCUAGUGUAGCGGUGAAAUGCGUAGAUAUUAGGAGGAACACCAGUGGCGAAGGCGGCUUACUGGACUGUAACUGACGUUGAGGCUCGAAAGCGUGGGGAGCAAACAGGAUUAGAUACCCCAGUAGUC